UUGGGUUAAGUCCCGCAACGAGCGCAACCCUUAUCCUUUGUUGCCAGCACGUGAUGGUGGGAACUCAAAGGAGACUGCCGGUGAUAAACCGGAGGAAGGUGGGGAUGACGUCAAGUCAUCAUGGCCCUUACGAGUAGGGCUACACACGUGCUACAAUGGCAGAUACAAAGUGAAGCGAACUCGCGAGAGCAAGCGGACCACAUAAAGUCUGUCGUAGUCCGGAUUGGAGUCUGCAACUCGACUCCAUGAAGUCGGAAUCGCUAGUAAUCGUAGAUCAGAAUGCUACGGUGAAUACGUUCCCGGGCCUUGUACACACCGCCCGUCACACCAUGGGAGUGGGUUGCAAAAGAAGUAGGUAGCUUAACCUUCGGGAGGGCGCUUACCACUUUGUGAUUCAUGACUGGGGUGAAGUCGUAACAAGGUAACCGUA
rnacentral:rRNA from 1 species